rnacentral:rRNA from 1 species
GAUGAACGCUGGCGGCGUGCCUAAUACAUGCAGGUCGAGCGAACGGACGAGAAGCUUGCUUCUCUGAUGUUAGCGGCGGGCGGGUGAGUAACACGUGGAUAACCUACCUAUAAGACUGGGAUAACUUCGGGAAACCGUAGCUAAUACCGGAUAAUAUUUUGAACCGCAUGGUUCAAAAGUGAAAGACGGUCUUGCUGUCACUUAUAGAUGGAUCCGCGCUGCAUUAGCUAGUUGGUAAGGUAACGGCUUACCAAGGCAACGAUGCAUAGCCGACCUGAGAGGGUGAUCGGCCACACUGGAACUGAGACACGGUCCAGACUCCUACGGGAGGCAGCAGUAGGGAAUCUUCCGCAAUGGGCGAAAGCCUGACGGAGCAACGCCGCGUGAGUGAUGAAGGUCUUCGGAUCGUAAAACUCUGUUAUUAGGGAAGAACAUAUGUGUAAGUAACUGUGCACAUCUUGACGGUACCUAAUCAGAAAGCCACGGCUAACUACGUG